rnacentral:rRNA from 1 species
UACGAGUGCCCCGAGCGUUAUCCGGAAUUAUUGGGCGUAAAGGGCGCGUAGGCGGCCAUGCGUGUCUUCCGUGAAAUCCCUCGGCUUAACUGAGGACGUGCGGAAGAAACUGCAAGGCUCGAGUCCGGGAGAGGGGGGUGGAAUUCCCAGUGUAGCGGUGGAAUGCGUAGAUAUCGGGAAGAACACCGGUGGCGAAGGCGGCUCGCUGGGCCGUUGCUGACGCUGAGGCGCGAAAGCGUGGGGAGCAAACAGG